GAUGAACGCUGGCGGCGUGCCUAAUACAUGCAAGUCGAGCGAACGGACGAGAAGCUUGCUUCUCUGAUGUUAGCGGCGGACGGGUGAGUAACACGUGGAUAACCUACCUAUAAGACUGGGAUAACUUCGGGAAACCGGAGCUAAUACCGGAUAAUAUUUUGAACCGCAUGGUUCAAAAGUGAAAGACGGUCUUGCUGUCACUUAUAGAUGGAUCAGCGCUGCAUUAGCUAGUUGGUAAGGUAACGGCUUACCAAGGUAACGAUGCAUAGCCGACCUGAGAGGGUGAUCGGCCACACUGGAACUGAGACACGGUCCAGACUCCUACGGGAGGCAGCAGUAGGGAAUCUUCCGCAAUGGGCGAAAGCCUGACGGAGCAACGCCGCGUGAGUGAUGAAGGUCUUCGGAUCGUAAAACUCUGUUAUUAGGGAAGAACAUAUGUGUAAGUAACUGUGCACAUCUUGACGGUACCUAAUCAGAAAGCCACGGCUAACUACGUG
rnacentral:rRNA from 1 species